GACGAACCUGACGAACGUUAUUCGGAAUCACUGGGCUUAAAGGGUGCGUAGGCGGUGCAGUAAGUUGGGUGUGAAAUCCCUCGGCUUAACCGAGGAACUGCGCCCAAAACUACUGUGCUUGAGUGAGAUAGAGGUGAGCGGAACUUAGGGUGGAGCGGUGAAAUGCGUUGAUAUCCUAAGGAACACCGGUGGCGAAAGCGGCUCACUGGGUCUCAACUGACGCUGAUGCACGAAAGCUAGGGUAGCGAACGGG
rnacentral:rRNA from 1 species